rnacentral:tRNA from 1 species
GUGGCUGUAGCUCAGUUGGUUAGAGCGCUUGAUUGUGGCUCAAGUUGUCGUGGAUUCGAAUUCCACCAGUCACCCCA